GCCGCCGCCACCUCCGCCGCCUCCCCCACUGCUGCUCGGAUUCGAGAUGUCUUCGUCUUCGCGGCUGAGUCCACCGCCGGAGGCCGCUGCCGGGAGGGCCAGCGGGCGGUGCUGCGCCAUUGGAGGCGUGGCUAGGUGGUGGUGGAGGUAGCCAGCGGCGGCGGGGUGCUGCGGGACUCGGUGGUGGUAGUACGGGGAGAAUUGAUGGUGGUGGUGAAGCGGCGGUGGCGGCGGCUGUGCGCGGUGGUGGAAGGAGGUCAUCUCGCCGUCGAUCUCCUUGCGGUGAAAAUUCCGGUGGCAGUUGCAGGCGGCGCAAAUCACGGCCUCCAGAGUGCCGUCCUCUCCGGCCGGCAUGAACUCGCAGCAGCCGUCAACGGCGUGGCCGCCGAAGCUCACGGCGUG
rnacentral:lncRNA from 1 species